AUUGACUUGCCCCGAGUUAUCCUUUUUUUUUGGUAACUGAAUAAUUCCAUUAGGCACCCUCCAGGGAAAAGGGACCCAAAACAGACAAAGAGCAGCAAGAAAAAACAAGGAAGGAGCCAAAAACAAAAGCUCCAAAGAACCAACCAAAGAGCAACUAGUUAAAAGGCCAAAAACAAAAGCUCCAAAGAGCCAACCAAAGAGCCAGAAAAACAGAAUUAGAUCAUAGCCACAUCAAGAAUAUUAAAAUUGUCUCGUGUUAUCAGGUGAUGCAAAUUGACUUGACUCGAGUUAUCAAGUGAUGCAAAUUGAAUCAACAUUUAUGAGUGUUGACCAAAUAUAUAUGCUGGCCCAUUU
rnacentral:lncRNA from 1 species